CUGGCGGCGUGCCUAAUACAUGCAAGUCGAGCGAACGGACGAGAAGCUUGCUUCUCUGAUGUUAGCGGCGGACGGGUGAGUAACACGUGGAUAACCUACCUAUAAGACUGGGAUAACUUCGGGAAACCGGAGCUAAUACCGGAUAAUAUUUUGAACCGCAUGGUUCAAAAGUGAAAGACGGUCUUGCUGUCACUUAUAGAUGGAUCCGCGCUGCAUUAGCUAGUUGGUAAGGUAACGGCUUACCAAGGCAACGAUGCAUAGCCGACCUGAGAGGGUGAUCGGCCACACUGGAACUGAGACACGGUCCAGACUCCUACGGGAGGCAGCAGUAGGGAAUCUUCCGCAAUGGGCGAAAGCCUGACGGAGCAACGCCGCGUGAGUGAUGAAGGUCUUCGGAUCGUAAAACUCUGUUAUUAGGGAGGAACAUAUGUGUAAGUAACUGUGCACAUCUUGACGGUACCUAAUCAGAAAGCCACGGCUAACUACGUGCCAGCAGCCGCGGUAAUACGUAGGUGGCAAGCGUUAUCCGGAAUUAUUGGGCGUAAAGCGCGCGUAGGCGGUUUUUUAAGUCUGAUGUGAAAGCCCACGGCUCAACCGUGGAGGGUCAUUGGAAACUGGAAAACUUGAGUGCAGAAGAGGAAAGUGGAAUUCCAUGUGUAGCGGUGAAAUGCGCAGAGAUAUGGAGGAACACCAGUGGCGAAGGCGACUUUCUGGUCUGUAACUGACGCUGAUGUGCGAAAGCG
rnacentral:rRNA from 1 species